rfam:Oryza glaberrima chromosome 1 Oglab01_0297_15, whole genome shotgun sequence.
AAAAAGUCAAACCCUGCAUUUCCGUGUCCAACUUUAACUGUUCGUCUUAUAUAAUAUUUUUUUAUAAUUCAUAUUUUUAUUAUUGUUAGAUGAUAAAACAUGAUUAAUAUUUUAUGCGUGACUUGUCUUUUUAAUUUUUUUCAUAAUUUUUUAAAUAAGACAGACGGUCAAAUGUUGGACACAGAA